rnacentral:tRNA from 1 species
GGGGGUGUAGCUCAGCUGGGAGAGCGCAUGGUUCGCAAUCAUGAGGUCAGGGGUUCGAUCCCCCUCAUCUCCACCA